rnacentral:tRNA from 3 species
GCGCCCGUAGCUCAGCCGGAUAGAGUGUUGGCCUCCGAAGCCAAAGGUCGUGCGUUCGAAUCGCACCGGGUGCGCCA